CACCCGUGAUGAUUCAUGUAUAAGAGUAGUGGACAGAAGUGAUUUCUGAGCACUUUUUAAUCUGAGACG